GGUGGUAUAGCUCAAGCGGUAGAGCGCGUGCUUAGCAUGCAGGAAGUCUUAGGUUCAAUUCCUGGUACCUCCU
rnacentral:tRNA from 1 species